rnacentral:snRNA from 1 species
AGCUUUGCGCAGUGGCAGUAUCGUAGCCAAUGAGGUUUAUCCGAGGCGCGAUUAUUGCUAAUUCAAAAAAUGUAGGAGGAGGAGAGAGGGACUUGAGUAAGAUGAGUUCCAUACUACUAAAAAGUCUAUGCUUCUUGAUCUUUUAAUAUAAUUGAUUA